rnacentral:piRNA from 1 species
CCAGGGUAUGCUCACAGAGGCCUGGGUGC